UAGCAUUGAGUUUCGGUAUUGUCUGUACAGGAUAGGUGGGAGGCUGAGAAGUAGCGUCGCCAGGCGCUAUGGAGCCGCCGUUGGGAUACCACCCUGAUGAUACUGAAGCUCUAACCGGAGGCCAUGAAGCUGGUCACGGGACAUUGUUAGGCGGGCAGUUUGACUGGGGCGGUCGCCUCCUAAAGAGUAACGGAGGCGCCCAAAGGUUCCCUCAGUGCGGUUGGAAAUCGCGCGUAGAGUGCAAAGGCAGAAGGGAGCCUAACUGUGAGACUGACAAGUCGAGCAGUGACGAAAGUCGGGCUUAGUGAUCCGGUGGUACCGAGUGGAAGGGCCAUCGCUCAACGGAUAAAAGCUACCUCGGGGAUAACAGGCUGAUCUCCCCCAAGAGUCCACAUCGACGGGGAGGUUUGGCACCUCGAUGUCGGCUCGUCGCAUCCUGGGGCUGAAGUAGGUCCCAAGGGUUGGGCUGUUCGCCCAUUAAAGCGGCACGCGAGCUGGGUUCAGAACGUCGUGAGACAAUAUAAAAUAUAAUAGCUAGGGUGGGCGGAGGGUUUAUGAU
rnacentral:ncRNA from 1 species